UACAGAGGUGGCAAGCGUUGUUCGGAAUUACUGGGCGUAAAGGGCGCGUAGGCGGCUUGGUCAGUCCCGUGUGAAAUCCCUCGGCUCAACUGAGGAACUGCACGGGAAACUGCCUGGCUUGAGUUCGGGAGAGGGAAGCGGAAUUCCGGGUGUAGCGGUGAAAUGCGUAGAUAUCCGGGGGAACACCGGUGGCGAAGGCGGCUUCCUGGACCGACACUGACGCUGAGGCGCGAAAGCUAGGGGAGCAAACGGG
rnacentral:rRNA from 1 species